rfam:Brachypodium distachyon strain Bd21 chromosome 1, whole genome shotgun sequence.
AUACUACUCCCUCCGUCCCAUGAUUCUUGUCGAAAUAUUACAUUUAUCUAGACGCUUUUUAGGAAUAGAUACAUCCAUUUUUGCGCAAAUUUGAGACAAGAAUUAUGGGACGGAGGGAGUACCUC